UCCAUAUCAUUCCAAAGGGUUCACAUACUUUUUCUUGCAACUGUAUAUAUACUGCUGAAAACAACAAUGCAUGCACACACAGUAAUAUCCAGUGAAGGACACUCGUAUAUACAAACAUACACACACACACAUUACAAAUACAUUCUUACACAUUUCAUACAAAUAUUCAAUAACUCCAUCUGUACACAUUAAUAGUAUACACAAAUAUUUAUUUGAAUACACACACAUCUGUAAAUAAAUUUCUGCAUUACAAAUACAUUGACUCUCUGCAAAACACAGCCAGCUUACACACAGUCCAUACAAAAACACUACUAGCUGACAAGCUCUCUGAGGACAAGAUGGCACUGGUAAGCUGUUUGGAAAAAGAAAUGUCACUGAUUAGCAAUUUUGGGACAACAAUGACAGUGGUCAGCGAUUU